rnacentral:rRNA from 1 species
GAUGAACGCUGGCGGCGUGCCUAAUACAUGCAAGUCGAGCGAACAGACGAGGAUCUUGCUCCUUUGACGUUAGCGGCGGACGGGUGAGUAACACGUGGGUAACCUACCUAUAAGACUGGGAUAACUUCGGGAAACCGGAGCUAAUACCGGAUAAUAUUUCGAACCGCAUGGUUCGAUAGUGAAAGAUGGCUUUGCUAUCACUUAUACAUGGACCUGCGCCGUAUUAGCUAGUUGGUAAGGUAACGGCUUACCAAGGCAACGAUACGUAGCCGACCUGAGAGGGUGAUCGGCCACACUGGAACUGAGACACGGUCCAGACUCCUACGGGAGGCAGCAGUAGGGAAUCUUCCGCAAUGGGCGAAAGCCUGACGGAGCAACGCCGCGUGAGUGAUGAAGGUCUUCGGAUCGUAAAACUCUGUUAUUAGGGAAGAACAAACGUGUAAGUAACUGUGCACGUCUUGACGGUACCUAAUCAGAAAGCAACGGCUAACUACGUG